UACGUAGGGUGCGAGCGUUGUCCGGAAUUAUUGGGCGUAAAGGGCUCGUAGGCGGUUUGUCGCGUCGGGAGUGAAAACCCAGGGCUUAACCCUGGGCUGGCUUCCGAUACGGGCAGACUAGAGGUAUGCAGGGGAGAACGGAAUUCCUGGUGUAGCGGUGAAAUGUGUAGAGAUCGGGAGGAACAUCGGUGGCGAAGGCGGGUCUCUGGGCAAUUCCUGACGCUGAGGCGCGAAAGCGUGGGGAGCAAACGGG
rnacentral:rRNA from 1 species